rnacentral:rRNA from 1 species
UAGGGAAUCUUCGGCAAUGGGGGGAACCCUGACCGAGCAACGCCGCGUGAGUGAAGAAGGUUUUCGGAUCGUAAAGCUCUGUUGUUAAGGAAGAACGAGUGUGAGAAUGGAAAGUUCAUACUGUGACGGUACUUAACCAGAAAGGGACGGCUAACUACGUGCCAGCAGCCGCGGUAAUACGUAGGUCCCGAGCGUUGUCCGGAUUUAUUGGGCGUAAAGCGAGCGCAGGCGGUCAAUUAAGUCUGAUGUGAAAGCCCCCGGCUCAACCGGGGAGGGUCAUUGGAAACUGGGUGACUUGAGUGGAGAAGAGGAGAGUGGAAUUCAAUGUGUAGGGGUGAAAUGCGUAGAUAUAUGGAGGAACACCAGUGGCGAAGGCGACUCUCUGGUCUGUAACUGACGCUGAGGCUCGAAAGCGUGGGUAGCAAACAGG